rnacentral:ncRNA from 1 species
UUCGAGGGCAGGGUGAGAUUCCCUACCGGCAGUAAGGACAAUUCGUCCACAGCCUGCGAGCCUUUUAUAGGUUGAUCCGGUGAAAUUCCGGAGCCGACGGUUAUGCCUGUUUAUCAGGCUUAGAGUCCGGAUGAAAGAAGACA